AUUGCAUUAGACAAAGGAGUUAAGGGCUGCACUUAAAAACAAUACAUUUUUAUUGUUUUUAAGUGCAGCUCUUAACUCCUUUGUCUGU